rnacentral:lncRNA from 1 species
UUUUUUUUUCGAAAGUGAAUAUUUCCGAAGGGUUAAAUAUUUUGCAGUGGUGACUUGCCAUGGCUUUGUUUGGACUUGUUUGUUUGCUUUUUGGCCUUGAAUGUUUGUCCCUAAUAUUUUAUUAACUGUGCAUUUGCAUUCAGAUAUCGCAGGUCAAAUUUAUUCGUUUAUAGGGUAUUAAUGUACGUUUUUUGAUUGAGUUAAGCUUGCCAAUUGAUAUUUUAUAGUGUGUUUUUCUAUGUUGUGAUGUUAUGCUAUUGUUUCAGAAAAAGGGAGAAGGUUUGGAUCCAUUAAAACGUUUAAUCCCGCUGCAAAUGUUUGCACCUGUCCUAAGUCAGGAAUCUGAUAUACAGUAGUUGUCGUUUGUUUAUGUAAUUUAUACGUGUUUCUUGUUUCUCGUUUUUUUAAUUUUAUAUAGAUUAGACCGUUGGUUUUCCCGUUUGAAUGGUUUUACACUAGUAAUUUUGGGGCCCUUUAUAGCUUGUUGUUCGGUGUGUGCCAAGGCUCCGUGUUGAAGGCCGUACAUUGACCUAUAAUGGUUUACUUUUUUAAAAUUGUUAUUUGGAUGGAGAGUUGUCUCAUUGGCACUCACACCACAUCUUCCUAUAUCUAUAUAAUAGGAGGGAGAAUGAUGCUACCCUCAAUAAUUAAAAAAAAAUAGAUUUCAUGUAUACAGUUUACAUUAAUAAAAUGAGGUAUCAAAAGUCAAGUUGAUUGAACC